rnacentral:rRNA from 1 species
CCCUUAGAUGUUCUGGGCCGCACGCGCGCUACACUGAUGCAUUCAACGAGUCCAACCUUGACCGAGAGGUCCGGGUAAUCUUUGAAACUGCAUCGUGGUGGGGCUAGAUUAUUGCAAUUAUUAAUCUUCAACGAGGAAUGCCUAGUAAGCGUGAUUCAUCAAAUCGCGUUGAUUACGUCCCUGCCCUUUGUACACACCGCCCGUCGCUCCUACCGAUUGAAUGCUCAGGUGAGCCAUUCGGACUUUCAUCAUGCUGGUUUCCAGUUUUGAUGAAGGAAAGUCUUGCGAACCUUAUCAUUUAGAGGAAGGAGAAGUCGUAACA